CCUACGGGGGGCAGCAGUGAGGAAUAUUGGUCAAUGGACGAGAGUCUGAACCAGCCAAGUCGCGUGAAGGAUGACUGCCCUAUGGGUUGUAAACCUCUUUUAUAUGGGAAUAAAAUGUUCCACGUGUGGGCUUUUGUAUGUACCAUACGAAUAAGGAUCGGCUAACUCCGUGCCAGCAGCCGCGGUAAUACGGAGGGUCCGAGCGUUAUCCGGAUUUAUUGGGUUUAAAGGGAGCGUAGGUGGAUUGUUAAGUCAGGUGUGAAAGUUUGGGGCUCAACCGGAGAAUUGCAGUUGAAACUGGCAGUCUUGAGUACAGUAGAGGUGGGCGGAAUGCGUGGUGUAGCGGUGAAAUGCUUAGAGAUCACGAAGAACUCCGAUUGCGAAGGCAGCUCACUGGACUGCGACUGACACUGAGGCUCGAAAGUGUGGGUAUCAAACAGGAUUAGAUACCCUGGUAGUC
rnacentral:rRNA from 1 species